CAGAACUUUCCCAGCCAGGGAUGGAACCCACCUCCCCUGCAGUGGCAAUGCAGAGUCUUAAUCACCAGGAAGCUCCUUGCUUUUCAUUUUACUUAAUAUAUGCUGUCUUCAUUGACUGGACCCCCUUAAUUCAUGUAAUAAUCUUGGUGCUGGAAAUUGCACUACUCAGAGUUCUUGAGAAGCGACAGAAUGGUAUUCGUAAGUGAGGCAGAAAGUUAAUCUGCCUGAAGGAAAGAAGGUCAUAGAACCAUACCCUGGAGGACACCAGAACCUGUUCUGGAACCAGACCUAAAAAUCUCAGUGUCUCCAGAAGGAAAGAAGAAUGCAAGACUAUUUCAGCCCUAUCUACAGGCUUAUUUCCCACCCUGACACUGUAAGACCACAAUUUUGAGGACCUUAGACUGGUGUGGCCCCUUUGCCUCACAAAGUAAUAAAGUUGCUCUGUUCUACUCCAAAGCUCUGUCUCCACAUUUCUAUUUGGCACCAGUGUAUAAGAUCCAGGUUUUCAGCUACCAAAACAUUGAUCUUACAUCUCUCUUCAUACCCUUGAGACCUUUGUUUACUUGUGUGGGAUUGGCUAUAGCAUUACCACAUUGUAUUGUGGCUAUUUUAUGUUCUCCUCACUAGCCAGUGACCUUGAAAAGUUUGUUCAACCUUACAAUUUUACAACUUUACAAAAUCCAAGCCAUGUGUUUAUUAUUAUAUUCCAUGUUGCCUCUGAAUAUAACUACAAUGUCAGUUUUCCUC
rnacentral:lncRNA from 1 species